rnacentral:lncRNA from 1 species
GCCCUACCAAACACGCAAGGCUACACUGCAACUUUACAGAACCAUUGUUUAAUGAUGGGGAGGAGAAGGAUGGAUGGAAAAGAAGGCAAGACAGUACGAGUCCUGUGGUAGGGGCUCGCAUGGGUAUGAAUCCGCCUCGGCACCACCUUGCCACCAACAAGGGGCUGAUGACGGUGAGUCUGGAUACAGAAUUUGUCAUACACAGUGUGACGGAGGACCAGCAGAAGCACCUGCAAAGUGGGCCAGGAUCUGCGUCUCCCAGCUCUUUUCAAGAGGGCUAAUAAAAAUCGACAGAAAUGGGUGAGAUUCUGGGUUUUUUGUUUGCGCAUUUUUAAUAGUUGAGUGAGUCACCUCUAGCGAUGCUUUUGAAAUAGCACUUCCUCUGCCACAACUUUAUUUCACCGUUCAAAGCACAUCGAUCCCCUUAAGUCCACCUGGGUUCCAUUUUCACCUCGCACUCGGGAAAACCCAGUGUGCAGGGUUCCCAUGAAGACUCCAGUUCUGUGAGUACUGAGAGGGCGAGGGCCGGGCUUGCUGUCAGCCUGGAUCAACCAGGCCUCUGCUGGGCCGGCUCCAGGACAAGCAGGCUCCCCACGGUGCUGUCAGGGCCCAGCUGCAGCUCUGCAAGCUGUGGAAGUGCUGACUUGUGGACUUACAUGUCCUUUGCUCUUCCCACCUCUGUUGAGGACCCUGGGAGCCGGGACAUCCCUGUUCACUGUGCUUGGUGGGCACAGCCAGGGGCAGUAUCUCUCGGUGAUGACCCCCAGCACCAUCCACAGAGGCUGUACUGACCAACAGCGUUGACCCUUGAUUUUCUCUGUUGUAAUCCAGCCCCUCUGGAUGGCCACACUGGGUGGCAGAGAUCCAGGAUUUCAACAGUUGGCUUCUUUAUUGGAAACAGUAUACUGCUUCUCAAGUGGCACGGAACUCAAAGUUGAAACAAUCUUGUCCCUAAAGAAGACACUGAGGUUAUUAGGCUGGAAGGAACUUUUGAUCUUAUCCAAAGAACUCUUGUCUGCAUAA